rnacentral:tRNA from 1 species
GUUAUAUUAGUUUAAAUUUUUGAGAAUUUUGUUUUGAUGAGACAGAGGUUGUUAUAAUU